UACGGAGGAUGCGAGCGUUAUCCGGAUUUAUUGGGUUUAAAGGGUGCGUAGGCGGCUUAGUAAGUCAGCGGUGAAAUUUUGCAGCUUAACUGUAACAGUGCCGUUGAUACUGCCAGGCUAGGAUUUGGUUGCUGUGGGUGGAAUGUGUAGUGUAGCGGUGAAAUGCAUAGAUAUUACACAGAACACCGAUUGCGAAGGCAGCUUACUAAUCCAUCAUUGACGCUGAGGCACGAAAGCGUGGGGAUCAAACAGGA
rnacentral:rRNA from 1 species